ACUAAGUUGAGUUUGGUGAUGGCUCUGAUUGAAUGCUGUCCAAGUGCUUUGACACAUGCUAAUCGAACGUUUUAAUUAAUUUUCUAAUUAAAAAGUGGUGUACAGGUGAGUAUAUGAAUAUUUUUGCCGACCUCGAAGAGAAGGUAAAUCCUUCAUAAUAUAAAAAGACAAGAGAAGAAGGGAUUUAUGUUUCUUUCUUUGUGGUCGCUUUGAGAGGAUGAUAAAUAUUUUCGGGACAGGUAGUAGUUAAGGUGAUGACUUAACUAGCUUAAAACUCUCGUAGUCGAAACUGAAAGGUUGAUCGACCACAUUGGGUCUGAAAAAACCCCAAUGCAUAUUAGUACAGCAGUGAGGAAUUUUGGUCAAUGGCCUAACGGCUGAACUGGUAACUUGGAAAAGUGAUAAGUCCAAAAUAGGAUUAAAUUUAAGAAUGAAGCUUUGUUUAUAUAUUGAUGGGUGCUUCGCACAAAUAAAUGACAAUAUAUAUAUUUUGUCUUGACCAAUUACGUGCCAGCAGUCGCGGUAAUACGUAAGAGACUAGUGUUAUUCAUCAUAAUUAGGUUUAAAGGGUACCUAGACGGUCAAAAUAGCAUGUUAAAUGUAAAUGUAACUACUUGACUAGAGUUUUAUGGAAGAGGGCAGAACUUGCGGAGGAGAGAUAAAAUUUCGUAAUACCAAAAGGACUGGUAAAGGUGAAGACAGCCCUUUAUUUAAAAACUGACGUUGAGGGACGAAGGCAUAGGUAACAAAAAGGAUUAGAUACCCCAGUAGUCUUUGCAGUAAAUUAUGAAUGCCAUAGGUUAGAUUAAUUUUUAGUCUAUAAAUGAAAGUGUAAGCAUUCCACCUCAAGAGUAAUGUGGCAACGCAGGAACUGAAAUCACUAGACCGUUUCUGACACCAGUAGUGAAGUAUGUUGUUUAAUUCGAUAAUCCACGAAAAACCUUACCGCAGUUUGUAUAUUUACAAGAGUUGCACGGCUGUUUCCAGUUAAUGUUGUGAAACUGUGGUUUCCACGGAACUAACGCAAUCCCUGGCUUUAUUUUUUAGAUAUACGAUAAAGUAUUUAUUUCCAUAUAUUAGGAACGAAAAAGGGGACAAAGACAAGUCAUCAUGGCCUUAAUACUGCGGGCUAUAGACGUGCCACAUUUUCCUAGACAAAGAGAUGCAAAAAUGUGAAUUUGAGCUAAUCUCAAAAAAUAGGAUAUAAUUUUAUAAGGAUUGUAGUCUGAAACUCGACUAUAUGAAUAAGUAAUUACUAGUAAUCGUGAAUCACCAUGUCACGGUGAAUAUUAUUUGGAUUGGUACUAACCACUCGUCACAUGCUGAAAGGGGCAUGCGCAAUAAGUUUGCUUUUUCAAUGAUAAGCACUUAAAUAAACAGAUUUAUUCUUAUAUUGGAAAUCUUCGUAUGCGUGGCUUUAAUUAGUGUUAAGUCGAAAUACGGUUCGUGUAGUGGAAGUUGCACGGGAUUUAUUAACUUU
rnacentral:rRNA from 1 species